GCUUGGUCGGAGGCAGAGCAGUUGCCAUACCAGGCAGGGCAUCGUUAAGGGGGGGAAACAUGAAUGACUCAUGGCUCCUAGCCUGGUAGGGGACCCUAAAUGUUGAGAAAAUUAUUUGUUUAUCAUUUAAAAAAUGUUAGACAAAUAAAUCUGUGAUGAAAAUUAAAACCUAUAACUAUAGUCAGAUCAGACAUCUCUACCCAACCAUCCCGUUUGUACCCCCCAUAAUGCACAUGGUUUGGUCCAUUCUCCACGAGGAGAAAUAAGAAAUACCGCUGAUCUGACAGUUGCUCCGCCAUGUAGCCUAAGCAUUCAGGAGAAUUAAACACUAUGCCCCCCUCAAAAACGAAAUUGGGUUUCCAAAAAGGGAAAGAAAAGAAACAGAGACAAAUACAGCAAAAUUCUGGAAAAAAAUUACUCACUACAUUUUUUUCCCAGAAAAAAAAAACGAGGAGAAGGAUUUGAGUGAUGCUACUACUACUACUGCUGUAAACAAAUAUCCCAACGUGUGCCCCCUACAUGAAGUUGAAACAGCGGACGUUGGAGUGCCUAGAGAGCCCCAGGUAGGCGGAAUCUCAGCAGAAAGCUGUCAGACAGACUCUGAUGCAAAGGAGAGCAGGAAGGAUGAAGAGGAGUUUAAGAGUAGCAGCAGUGCCAGUGAAGGACUGAUAGAAGAGAUUGAACAAGCAAGUAAUAAGGAAAAGGAAAAGUAUGGACAGAUUCGAAGUGAGGAAGAUGAGGUUUUAGAUGAUCCAGCACUGUGGCCAGAGAAAGUACAAGACCAUGAAAGAUAAGCUAUUGUUCGCAGACUAGCCAACAGGUGUGGUGAGGAGACAGAACUGUAUAAAAUCAUGCCCCCAGACUCAGAAGGCAAGCCAUUCCCCAACUAUUUACAGUACUACAGUAAGUCAGCAAAUGGAAGAGAAAAGGUGCAGAGAGACUGGCUUAUUUAAAGUAAGAGUGUAAAGGCAUUAUAUUGCAUUCCAUGUGUUCUUUUUUCUCAUCAGCAAAGUAAACCAUCGCCAGGUUAUCUGAAUAUUAAUGAUGGAUAUAAGAUAUCCAUCAGAUAUAGACAGCUGCAGAAACGGAUCCAGUCAGAAAUGUAUAAAAACAGGAUUUUGGAUUUUGGAUAUUUAGCAUCUAGGAAUCUGCCAUUCUGGGGGAAAUCCCUCAAUCUUAAUGAUGUGCAUAGUGGACAUUACCUAGGCUUACUGGAACUGUUGUCAAAUUAUGACCCGUUAUUACGUCAGCACUUACAGGAAGUCAGGGACAAAAAGAAAGGACUGACUCAUUACCUCAGCCCUGAGAGCCAAAACGAAGAUAAAAGCACACAAAGAUAAAAUAAUUGAACGUUUUCUUGAAUUUAAAAGACAGGCAGUGACAUUUCUGAAAUGAUUUUGAGUGCAUUGGAAGGGCAUGGUAUUGACAUAGCAGAUUGCCCUGGUCAAGGCUAUGAUAAUGGUGCAAAUAUGUCAGGGAAAGGGAAGGGAGUUCAAGCACCCAUACUGCAAAAGAAUCCACUGGCCACAUACUCACCUUGUGCCUCCAAUACUCUUAAUCUUGUGGUUGUACAUGCAGCUUAGUCGUUCCCAGAAGUGUCAACCUUUUUUGGCUGUGUGAAUAAUCUUUACAAUCUGUUCAGUGCCAGCCCAGAGCGAUGGGCCAUUCACAAGGAAAAGACUGGCUGCUGUCUUUAACCGCCUUUCAGACAUGGGAUGGAGUGUGCCGUAUUGCUGCGGUCGGACCAGUGGACCAACUCGUUUACUGUCUAUCAUCAAGGCCCUAGACAUGCUUCUUGCUACCUGCAGCCUGACAAACGAAGCCAAAUCUGAGGCAAAAGGUCUGAAAAGCUACUUCAUGUCUUUCAAGACAGUCUUCCUGCUCACUUUCUGGGUAAAAGAUUUGCAGUGUAUUGAGAAUAGAAGCCUAAUUCUUCAGUCAGGAAAUAUUUCUCUGUACACUGAAGCACCUCACAAUAAGGCACUGCAGGAAGAAAUACAGGCUCUGUGUAAUCAAUGGGAC